AGUUUUAAGUUUGAUUCUUGCUUAUAUUUUUUAUAUUAUGAUUAAAAAAUACAUGAAAAUUAUAGUGUUCCUUUAUAAUAAAAUUAAAAAUUACAUAUAAUAUAAAUCUCAGUAUUUAAUUUUAAGUAUUAAUUAAAAUUAGAAUUGGUAAUCAUUUUAAUCCUGACUAAAAUUUGUGCCAGCAGUCGCGGUUAUACUUAAGGGGUAAAUAAAUACAAUUUGGUAUUUAUAGUAAAUUAUUAGUUAAAUAAAAAUUAUUAUUUUUUUUAAAGGGUGAAAUCAGAAUUUAAUUAUAAUAAUAAAUUUAAAAUAAAACCAAAAUAAACUAUAAAUUUUAAUAUAUAAACUAGGAUUAGAUACCCC
rnacentral:rRNA from 1 species